rnacentral:rRNA from 1 species
AGUGAACGCUGGCGGUAGGCCUAACACAUGCAAGUCGAACGGCAGCACAGUAAGAGCUUGCUCUUACGGGUGGCGAGUGGCGGACGGGUGGGGAAUACAUCGGAAUCUACUUUUUCGGGGGGGAUAACGUAGGGAAACUUACGCUAAUACCGCAUACGACCUACGGGUGAAAGCAGGGGAUCUUCGGACCUUGCGCGAUUGAAUGAGCCGAUGUCGGAUUAGCUAGUUGGCGGGGUAAAGGCCCACCAAGGCGACGAUCCGUAGCUGGUCUGAGAGGAUGAUCAGCCACACUGGAACUGAGACACGGUCCAGACUCCUACGGGAGGCAGCAGUGGGGAAUAUUGGACAAUGGGCGCAAGCCUGAUCCAGCCAUACCGCGUGGGUGAAGAAGGCCUUCGGGUUGUAAAGCCCUUUUGUUGGGAAAGAAAAGCAGCAGGUUAAUACCCCGCUGUUCUGACGGUACCCAAAGAAUAAGCACCGGCGAACUUCGU